ACAUUUGGCACAUUAUGGCACAACCUCACUGACUUCAUGUUCAUCUGCAGAAAAUGAAGGAUGGAAGCAAAAAUGGAGAUGGAACGAAUGAGAAAAAAUAGCAUAAGAACACCAGGUCAUCAAGGCGAAAGCAGUGAUAUUAUCUGGGAAACUGGAAGAAAUCCAAUUGUGGAUAAAGAUAAAUUACAGAUGAAACCAGUGCUAAAAAAAAAAAAGAAGAAGAAAGAAAUGGAAUAGAAACUAGAAGUCCGGAAUGGAGACAGAAGAAAGAUUCGGUUGAAGAUGUCCCUGUGUGGAUCUCAGUUUGCGCUCUGAGCGACGUCCUGGCUCAUUUGGGUGUGACGGUGAGAGCAGAGGCGCUCUGCUGACAGUUUUUUCUUGUCUAAGCUUCCAUUCCGCAUCCACAAUAUGACUCGCCUUCCACUCCAGUUAACUUCUUGGAAGUCCAGAGCACUUAGUCAAAGCUGUUUACAAAAUGCAAAGCAUCUGGGCGGCCAAGGCAGAGGCUCCUGUGUUCUCUAUGUAACCGCCUCCAAAAAAGCUGGGAAAUUUCGCGGAUCAAAAUGUAGGCGCUUAAAGCUGACCCUCUGCUGUCAAUGUUGGGACUUAGAUACAUUUUUUGCAUCGUCA
rnacentral:lncRNA from 1 species